UUAACUCGGAGAUGUCGUUCAAUACUGCGGGGCUUGAGGACAGCAGAGGAAGGUGGAAUUCCCGGUGUAGUGGUGAAAUGCGUAGAUAUCGGGAGGAACACCCGUGGCGAAGGCGGCCUUCUGGGCUGUUCCUGACGCUGAAGGCGAAAGCUAGGGGAGCGAACGGGGUUAGAUACCCCGGUAGUCCUAGCUGUAAACGAUGGAUGCUGGGUGUGGGGGGUGUAAAUUCCCUCUGUGCCGAAGCAAACGCGUUAAGCAUCCCGCCUGGGGACUACGGCCGCAAGGCUAAAACUCAAACGAAUUGACGGGGGCCCGCACAAGCAGCGGAGCGUGUGGUUUAAUUCGAUGCUACACGAAGAACCUUACCUGGGUUUGACAUGCACGUGGUAGGGAACCGAAAGGGGACCGACCUUCGGGAGCGUGCACAGGUGCUGCAUGGCUGUCGUCAGCUCGUGCCGUGAGGUGUCGGGUUAAGUCCCGUAACGAGCGCAACCCUUGCCCUUAGUUACAAGUGUCUAAGGGGACUGCCCGGGACAACUGGGAGGAAGGUGGGGAUGACGUCAAGUCAGCAUGGCCCUUAUAUCCAGGGCUACACACACGCUACAAUGGCCGGUACAAUAGGUUGCGAAGUCGUGAGGCGGAGCCAAUCCUCAAAGCCGGUCUCAGUUCGAAUUGCAGUCUGCAACUCGACAGCAUGAAGCUGGAGUUGCUAGUAAUCGCAGGUCAGCUAUACUGCGGUGAUACGUUCCCGGGCCUUGUACACACCGCCCGUCACGUCAUGGAAGCUGGCAACGCCUGAAGCCGGUGAGCUAACCCGAAAGGGAGGCAGCCGUCGAGGGUGGGGCUGGUAACUGGGACGAAGUC
rnacentral:rRNA from 1 species